rnacentral:rRNA from 1 species
UACGAAGGGGGCUAGCGUUGCUCGGAAUCACUGGGCGUAAAGCGCACGUAGGCGGCUUCUUAAGUCAGGGGUGAAAGCCUGGAGCUCAACUCCAGAACUGCCUUUGAUACUGAGGAGCUUGAGUCCGGGGAGAGGUGAGUGGAACUGCGAGUGUAGAGGUGAAAUUCGUAGAUAUUCGCAAGAACACCGGUGGCGAAGGCAGAUCUCUGGGCCGUAACUGACGCUGAGAGCGAAAGCGUGGGGAGCGAACAGG